rnacentral:tRNA from 1 species
GGGAGUGGCUCAACGGUAGGGCGUCACCUUCCCAAGGUGAAUGUUGCGGGUUCGAGUCCCGUCUUCCG